rnacentral:rRNA from 1 species
GAGUUUGAUCGUGGCUCAGAACGAACGCUGGCGGCAGGCUUCAUACAUGCAAGUCGAGCGCUUGAUGCCCUUCGGGGCAAAGAGAGCGGCGAACGGGUGAGUAACAGGUGGAUAAUCUGCCUUCUGGUGGGGGACAACGGCUGGAAACGGCCGCUAAUACCGCGUAUGGUUGUUUCUUCGCAUGGAGAGACAAAGAAAGGCGCCUUUAAAGCGUCGCCAGAAGAUGAGUCCGCCUCCCAUUAGCUAGUUGGUGAGAUAACAGCCCACCAAGGCGACGAUGGGUAGCCGAGCUGAGAGGUUGAUCGGCCACACUGGGACUGAGAUACGGCCCAGACACCUACGGGUGGCAGCAGUAGGGAAUAUUGGACAAUGGGCGAAAGCCUGAUCCAGCCAUGCCGCGUGGGGGACGAAGGCCUUCGGUCGUAAACCCUUUCUUGAGGGAGAACAGUCGGGGUAGGAAUGAUCCUGAUUUGACGGUACCUCAGGAAUAAGCAACGGC